UAGCAGUAUCUGCAGACUUGUUUGCCUUUAUAUAUUCUCUCUAUUUUCAGUGCUUCAAAAACAUAGAGGUGGAAAAUGAGAAAUUUAGCUUGAUAUCCUGUCCUCUCUAUCAUCAUUCUCAUUAGAUAGCAAGAGCAUGAAGUUCCGGGAGAAUACUGCAUUUGACAGAAUGUUGCUGUUCGUGUAAGCUAUUCAUUCGCUUCAAAUACGUGUUCCGUGAAAGCAGAUUUUAUGUGAAACCACUUUGUAGAGGCAAGUUAAUUCUUAGAACUCCAUUCGAAAUAAACUGUCAUUGUACUUUA
rnacentral:lncRNA from 1 species